UGUGUGUGUUUGGGAGGGUAUGCAUAUGUGUUUUAGAAGGGAACGUGUGUGUGUGUGUGUGUGUGUGUGUGUGUGUGUGUGCUCUCGCUCGCGGGGUCGACCUUGGAGAUGUGAAAAUUGCCGAACACCGGAUAGAGACAGGCUUGCAUCACUACACACACACACACACACACACACACACAAAGAAGGCAUGCCAGACUCGAGAUAGAUGCCGUUUGAGGGAAGGUUAAAAGCAUAAAAGAACAUCUGCAUUACGUUCACCCGAGAGAGAGAGAGAGAGAGAGAGAGAGAGAGAGAGAGAGAGAGAGAGAGAGAGAGAGAGAGAGAGAGAUUUACGAAAUAAUACAAAAAAAAAACUCGUCUGGAAACCUUGAAAUUAUAAAAGAUGUAAUGCUUUUAAAUGCGAAGAAAGGCUGUGAGGAGCAUAUAAAACAGACGUGUGGCAUGACCUGGAGGCGUGUGUGUGUGUGUGUGUGUGUGUGUGUGUGUGUGUGUGUGCUUCCUGGAAAGGGCAGGAUGGAAGCAGAUAUACCGGGUUGGGGCAGCGCGACCAUAACUCAAAGCGCGACAUUGUAUUAUGAUGUUAAGUAAAUGUGUGUGUGUGUGUGUGUGUGUGUGUGUGUGUGCGCGCUUCGAUUUCAUUUUGUUAUUAUUUUAUCCUCAUUUUUAUCAUUAUUAUUAUAUUGCAGAGUUUUUUUUAUAAUUAUCCUCCCUUUUUCCUACUAUUACUAUCGUUGUUACAUAUACAAACGAUCAAAGAAGACAAGACUUAUAAGUGUAAAUAGUAGUAGUAGUAGUAGUAGUAGUAGUAGUAGUAGUAGUAGUAGUAGUAAUAAUAAUAAUAGUAAUAGUAACAAUAAUAAUAUCGAAUCUCUUCCCACUUCAUUAUAUUUUAUGUGCAGCUUGCGUUAUGUAAAUAGGAAACCUUUGAAGCUUUUUAUAUAACAAAGGAUGAAUAAUGCAAAUGGGAAGUUGUUGGAUAGAUAAUGGAGAUGAUGAGUGGGAGAGAAUGUGAAGGUGAACAGAAAGAUGACGAAUGAAUGCGAAGGUGAACAGAAAGGUGACUGAAGGAUGCGAAGGUGAACAGAAAGGUGACUGAAGGAUGCGAAGGUGAACAGAAAGGUGACUGAAGGAUGGGAAGGUGAACAGAAAGGUGACUGAAGGAUGCGAAGGUGAACAGAAAGGUGACUGAAGGAUGCGAAGGUGAACAGAAAGGUGACUGAAGGAUGCGAAGGUGAACAGAAAGGUGACUGAAGGAUGGGAAGGUGAACAGAAAGGUGACUGAAGGAUGGGAAGGUGAACAGAAAGGUGACUGAAGGAUGGGAAGGUGAACAGAAAGGUGACUGAAGGAUGGGAAGGUGAACAGAAAGGUGACUGAAAGAUGGGAAGGUGAACAGAAAGGUGACUGAAGGAUGGGAAGGUGAACAGAAAGGUGACUGAAAGAUGGGAAGGUGAACAGAAAGGUGACUGAAGGAUGCGAAGGUGAACAGAAAGGUGACUGAAGGAUGGGAAGGUGAACAGAAAGGUGACUGAAAGAUGGGAAGGUGAACAGAAAGGUGACUGAAGGAUGGGAAGGUGAACAGAAAGGUGACUGAAGGAUGCGAAGGUGAACAGAAAGGUGACUGAAGGAUGGGAAGGUGAACAGAAAGGUGACUGAAGGAUGGGAAGGUGAACAGAAAGGUGACUGAAAGAUGGGAAGGUGAACAGAAAGGUGACUGAAGGAUGGGAAGGUGAACAGAAAGGUGACUGAAGGAUGGGAAGGUGAACAGAAAGGUGACUGAAAGAUGGGAAGGUGAACAGAAAGGUGACUGAAAGAUGCGAAGGUGAACAGAAAGGUGACUGAAGGAUGGGAAGGUGAACAGAAAGGUGACUGAAGGAUGGGAAGGUGAACAGAAAGGUGACUGAAGGAUGGGAAGGUGAACAGAAAGGUGACUGAAGGAUGCGAAGGUGAACAGAAAGGUGACUGAAGGAUGGGAAGGUGAACAGAAAGGUGACUGAAGGAUGGGAAGGUGAACAGAAAGGUGACUGAAGGAUGGGAAGGUAAACAGAAAGGUGACUGAAGGAUGGGAAGGUGAACAGAAAGGUGACUGAAGGAUGGGAAGGUGAACAGAAAGGUGACUGAAAGAUGGGAAGGUGAACAGAAAGGUGACUGAAGGAUGGGAAGGUGAACAGAAAGGUGACUGAAAGAUGCGAAGGUGAACAGAAAGGUGACUGAAAGAUGGGAAGGUGAACAGAAAGGUGACUGAAGGAUGCGAAGGUGAACAGAAAGGUGACUGAAGGAUGCGAAGGUGAACAGAAAGGUGACUGAAGGAUGCGAAGGUGAACAGAAAGGUGACUGAAAGAUGGGAAGGUGAACAGAAAGGUGACUGAAGGAUGGGAAGGUGAACAGAAAGGUGACUGAAGGAUGGGAAGGUGAACAGAAAGGUGACUGAAAGAUGGGAAGGUGAACAGAAAGGUGACUGAAAGAUGGGAAGGUGAACAGAAAGGUGACUGAAAGAUGGGAAGGUGAACAGAAAGGUGACUGAAGGAUGGGAAGGUGAACAGAAAGGUGACUGAAAGAUGGGAAGGUGAACAGAAAGGUGACUGAAGGAUGGGAAGGUGAACAGAAAGGUGACUGAAGGAUGGGAAGGUGAACAGAAAGGUGACUGAAGGAUGCGAAGGUGAACAGAAAGGUGACUGAAGGAUGGGAAGGUGAACAGAAAGGUGACUGAAGGAUGGGAAGGUGAACAGAAAGGUGACUGAAGGAUGGGAAGGUGAACAGAAAGGUGACUGAAGGAUGGGAAGGUGAACAGAAAGGUGACUGAAGGAUGGGAAGGUGAACAGAAAGGUGACUGAAAGAUGGGAAGGUGAACAGAAAGGUGACUGAAGGAUGGGAAGGUGAACAGAAAGGUGACUGAAGGAUGGGAAGGUGAACAGAAAGGUGACUGAAGGAUGCGAAGGUGAACAGAAAGAUGACGAAUGUGAGGAAACAAAGAGAGAUGGGGAGGAAACUAAGAUGAUUGAUGAUGAAAGACAGGCUGGUAUAUCAUUAGUUUCAUUAAUAGUUUCUUUCUUCGUUCUUUAUCGUUUUUUUUUUUCUUCUGCUUACUCACUUUCUUGCUUUAUAUUAUGAGUAAGAUUAACAGUUUAGCUUCAUUCUUCUUUUUCUUUUAUAUAUUUUUUUUCUUCCUUCCCUCUUUUUUGCCUACUCUUUUCCUUCCCUUUUCUUUUCAUUCUUCAUUAUUUUAUCUUUCUAUCUCCGCCCUUUGUUGUGGCUGAUCGGAAAGGGUAAAAAAAAAAAAAAGAUA